UUGAAAAUGAAACCUUUAUCUCUAUUUAUUAUUUUUCUGGCCAUCGUUUUGACAACAAGCUACGUUCAUGCCUUUACCAGAAACAUUUUUCCAGAGGAUUUCCUCUUUGGAGCCGCCACUUCUGCUUAUCAGAGGGAAGGAGCUGUCAAUGAAGAUAGCGUCUUGAAUACUUUCUCACACUCUGGUAAUUUUAUUGCGAUUUUGUUGAGCCAUUCGUUUAUAUAAGUUUCUUUAGUCACUCUUGUUCGAAACUCGAAAAAAAUAAUAGAGUUAGAGGUAAUGGAGAUAUAGCAUCUGAUGGGUAGCACAUUUACAAGGAAGAUGUUAAGCUCAUGGCAGAAAUGGGCUUAGAAUCAUUCAGAUUCUCAAUCACCUGGGCAGGAAGAUGUUAAGCUCUCGUUCUCCCGGUUUCUUUUUUUUCUUGCAAGUAACGAUGUUGUUUUAAGAUCUCUUUAAACGGUUUUUAUUGUCUGUGUGACUUUUCAGAUGGAAGAGGAUUCAUUAAGCCAAAAGGCCUAUUGUUUUACAAGAACCUCAGUACCUCACCAAAGAACAUGGAAUCGAACCACACGUUACGCUAUAUAAUUAUGACCAUCCUCAGUCUAUUGAAGAUGAGUACGGAGGAUGGCUCAACCGCAAAAUCAUAAGACUUCACUGCUUAUGACAGAUGUAUGCUUUAGAGAGUUUGGGGAGGAUGUGAAGCUAUGGACUACAAUAAAGGAAGUUACAAUAUUCUCAGAGGAAGAGUCAGAGCAAGUUAAAGGAUCAUCUGAGUUUCUAGGAAUAUUCACUACACGACAUUCUCAGUCACAAACCGACCCUCACUGUAACGCUUCCAAACCGUCCCACCAGCCGGACAAACCGCGGACCGGCCUGGAGGUCACCACAGUGAACAACUGUCCGCGAUCUGGCCGAGGUUCCACCAACAAAUUAGGAUCCCCAACCAGUCCACUGACAGCCGCCUACCCUCUGCGUAUGUACCUUAGGCUUUUCAACCUUCAGAACAAACGCGGCGUUGUGCUGAUCUGGACUAGACCGUACCAUUUCCACUUGUCCACAUAUAUAUAAUUUUUUUUUGAUUUAUUACUUAAGUAUAAUGUUUACAAAUCAACAAAACACGAAAAUAACAGUUGGAUCAAUUUUGGGGAAAAACAUGUAAAGAAAACAUAGAUUUUGCAAUAAAACACGAAAACAUCCUAUUUGGUUUCUUAA